rnacentral:tmRNA from 1 species
UCAAUUGAAAAAUAAGCAUGUAGAAGGUAUAAGUUAUCUCACAACUGGACAAGGGUUCGACUCCCUUCGGCUCCACUG